UACGUAGGGUGCAAGCGUUUAAUCGGAAUUACUGGGCGUAAAGCGUGCGCAGGCGGUUAUGUAAGACAGGUGUGAAAUCCCCGGGCUUAACCUGGGAACUGCAUUUGUGACUGCAUAGCUAGAGUACGGUAGAGGGGGAUGGAAUUCCGCGUGUAGCAGUGAAAUGCGUAGAUAUGCGGAGGAACACCGAUGGCGAAGGCAAUCCCCUGGACCUGUACUGACGCUCAUGCACGAAAAGCGUGGGGGAGCAAACAGG
rnacentral:rRNA from 1 species